AUUUGUAACUUACAUAAAAAAGUUAAAAUAUAAGUCUUAAGCAACACAAAUCAGCACAUAAUUACUUUUACAUGAAUUAUACAAACCAAAAGCUGCAUGAAUUUAUUUGUUCUUUAAUGUUUAAUAUAAUAAAUCAGAAUUCACACAUUUUUAUAUCUGCAUAAAUUCUUUUUUAUAUUUACUAAAUCUUUAUCACCAACCUCAGCAUUUUCUUCAACAUCCUCAUCUUCAACUUCUCAAUCACCCUCAUCUUCACCUUCAUCAACCAUACCAACACUUUCACCAUCUUCACCCUCACCAGCAUCAGAAACCACAUCAUCUGCCCCACCACCAUCUUCUUCAUCAUCAUCACCAACCUCAGCACCUGAGACACACACAAACCAGAAAGAAAAUACCAGGAUGAUGAUCACAGUCUUCCACAUGGGUGUUCGCUCCAGAGCCAAUGAAGAGGCAAUGAUGAAGGCUGUGCAGGAUUUCAUUCUCCACUUCGAGGGUUUGAUGAGGAGACAGCAAUGUGAAGACUGCAGUCUACGAGUGCUAAACAUCAGCAAGAAACAUCACUGACCAUAACAUCAAAUCAUAUUUACUAUAUAAGAUCAGCAGAACCUCUGUGAGAAUAAGCAGUUAAUCAUUUUUACCUGACCUUCAGCAUCUGCUCGCUGUGUAAACGGUGUCACUAGGUGGCACUAGAGGACCAAACCUGUAAUGGAACCUCGCCUGAUGUCGUAAUUCACUUUCUCUAGGUGAAAUGUUUUGGUGUAACAAACUAUUUAAUUAUAAAGUUUCUGUAUAUCUUUGAGGCUAUUAUAACUAAUCUCAAUCAAUAUAGUAUGUCAUUAGCAUAUUAUAAAAAAUUUAUUUUGUUGAUAUUUAAAACUA
ensembl:lncRNA